rnacentral:rRNA from 1 species
ACAACUUUCAACAACGGAUCUCUUGGCUCUCGCAUCGAUGAAGAACGCAGCGAAAUGCGAUACGUAAUGUGAAUUGCAGAAUUCAGUGAAUCAUCGA